CUCUGUCUCUCUUCUCUGUCUCUGUCUCACUCUCUCUCUCCCCUACAUCUUCUCCCUCACCCCACCGCAAGGCUGGAGGAGAAAAUACACUCCCAAUAUUUGCUCCUGAUAAAAUCUCGUUCCCAGCUGGCUUAGAACUAUAAGCAGUGAAGAUGGAUGGAAAAGAAAGGGAGCAAGACAGCAAGGGUGAACAAAGGCCCUUUCAGGAAGCCCAUCCCCAGCUGCAAACUGACCCUAUGGACGUGGGGAAGGGGCGGCGGAAGGUGGACGAGGACACAAGUAUAUGGGCAUGGAGAAGCCAUGUCUACAUGUCCAAUUCAUCCAUUCAUUCAUCACAAAUACUGGUGGAAUUAUCAAAGGAAAAGGAACACAGAAAUGUGCCCUCUGGCUUUGUUCCUCUGUUUGGAUUAAACUGCAAUAUCAACCUCCAUGGAAGAGUCACCUGAAAGACCAUAAUCUUUAGGAGCAUUGGACUUGUAGGCAGGAAGACUUGGGCCCAAAUCCUACUUUGGAUACUUACGAACUAUGUGAACACAGGCACAUCACUAAACCUAUUUGAGCUUCAGUUUUCUUAUCUGUUAAAUGGAAAGGAAAAUACCAGUACCUAUUCUACAGUGUUUGUGUUGAAAGUGCUUUGCAAAGGAAUGGCAGAACAAGUCAUGGUCUAUGAAUGCAAUAGAAUACUAUUGUGCUAUAAGAAA